rnacentral:tRNA from 1 species
CGCCGCCUGGACGACGGGGUCGGUCCCGGCGACCUCGGGCGGCGCGGCGGGCAGCAGCCGGCGCACGGCGGGCUCCGCGUCCGCGGCGGCGA